rnacentral:lncRNA from 1 species
CCCUUGGAGUAUAGCUCAUGCUUGAAUGCGUACAAGAAGCCACCUCCAUCAGCCGGUUGUUGCCAGAAGAUGAAGGAACAAGCACCAUGCUAUUGCGAGUACAUGAAGAUAGAAGAUGUCAAACGUGUUUUUGACAGAGUUGAGAUUGCGAAAAUGGCUAAAUUGUGUGGAGUUUCAUAUUCUUCCACCUGCUAGAAUCCCGUUUGGUUUCAUUUGACUAUCUCUGGCUGGGAUAACCUAGCAUCUCAAUAAAUGAAAUUUUAUUUGAAAACUAUUUUUUUACUCAUAAUUUCGACUAUAAUGUACUUGUGUUCUUUUUUUUUUUUUAGAAUGAUACUGGUGGUUUGCUAUUAUUUACCUUUAUUGUCUUGAUUCAUGUUACAUAUGUGCAAAAAGAACUACAGAAUGAUCUAGAUUUUAUUUGAACCGUACUGGAUUGGUUGGAUUGGAAACUGAUCUGGAUAGUGGUAUAAUUAGAGGGGUUAGAUUGGUUGACCCACAGACCAAUAGGGAGUAUUUGAAUCGAUUUUCUCUAUUUCUUAAAAAAUAUUUUUAUAUUUAUUUUAAUCUUUAAGUAAUUUAUUUAAUCAAACUAGAUGAACAGGUCGAAAUAAAAAUAGUUAUUUAGCUGAUUUAGCUAUCGGUCCAGUUCUGAAAACAUUGUUAUAGUUAAAAAAAAACAAGAGAAAUGAGUUGUGUAGAUCAAAUUAUUAUAUUAUAAAAAUAUAUGUUAUUUGAAUAUUUAUUUGGGUAAAAUACACUAGUAGUGACUCAACUUUUGGUAAAUUUCUUUUUUUAGCUCCAGAUAGCUAAUGGUGACAACUAGACUUAUUAAUUGGCCGAGUUACCUGCCUAGGCCCGAUGGUCUACUCGAAAAAUGGAAGGAUUUGGACAAAUAUAUGAUGCUAAAAAAUGGGCUUGGGUAAAAUUUAAUGCCUAUUUUCUAUAUGGGUCAGGAGCUGUAAUAAAUUUUUUUGACCCGAGCCCAAUCCGACCUGAAUAUAUUAUGUUAUAACAAAUAAUUAUAUUAAUUAUAUAUGUUAACUAAUAAUUAUAUAUUUUUUAUAUUUAUAUUAAAUUACUAAUGCAAUAACAACAAAACCCAUUACCCAAAACCUAAAAAAAAAAAACUUACCCAAGUAAAUCAUUUGCUUCAACUAUACCUAAAGCCCAUCAAUUAUUUAACCAUAGACAUAUUUUAGUUAAUGGCAUACAAUAGAUUUACCAAGUUAUCGUUGCAAGCCCGGCAAUAUUAUUUUAGUGAGGGAUGAACAAAAUUCUAGAACUCUGAUUCAAAAUUAUCUUGAUUCAUCCACCAAUGAGGAAUUACCAAAACAUUUGACCCUUCACACAUUACUAUAUAAGUGAUUAGUCAAUCAAAUAAUAGAUAGGAAAUGGGUUGGUUUGAAAAUAAAUGGAUUGUUUGUCGUAGAAUAUUAUUCUCGUCAGAACUCAAAAUAUAUAAUUUUAAAAAUUAUAUUUAAUACAAUAAAACAUACAUUGUAUUUAUGCUAGUAUUUUUUAAUGAAUUUUUAAUGUGGUAUUAAACUCUUAGUUGAUGAAACUUGUUAGGUUCAAUAGACUAUUAAAUCAUUAAUUCUGAAGCCAUUAAUCAUAUUUGUGUUUAUUGUAGGGUUCAAGUAAAUGAGAAGCCUUCGUGGUAAGGAUCUCUCAUUGCGAAUUGGAGAUGGGACAAAUGUAGCAACAAAAGUAGUGGGAGAAGUACAUUUGUAUUUUGAUAAUUUUAGGAAAAUUAUUUUAAAUGGCAUUUUUUAUGUACCUAGUUUUAGGAGAAAUUUAAUUUCUGUUGCAUGUUUAUUUAAAGAAAGUUUUUCUGUGGCUUUUAAUAAAGGGAUUGCAAUUCAUAAAAUCAUGUUCUUAUCCGUAAUGGAUGGGUGCAAAAUAAUAUUUAUUUUCUUACACAAAAGAGCUACUCACUGCUUGAAACCAAACUUGUGAAUAAAAAACUUGAAACUUCACACUCUGAUUCUUAUGAUAUUUAAUACUUAACCGUGUUAAACAAGAAAGAUUGAAUAAAAUUUUUAAAGAUGAGAUUUUAGGUUUACUUAAAGUGAUACAUCUUCCACAAUGUGAAUCUUGCUUGAAACGUAAAAUAACCAAGCAAUCUUCUAAUGCAAAAGGUACAAGGAUUGUUCAAUCAUUCAAACUUUUGCAUACCGACGUAUGUGGUCCUAUGAACGUUAGUGUAAGAUUUGGCUACAAUUAUUAUGUAAACUUUUUAGAUAUUUAUUCCAGAUACUAGCUAGUAUGUGUACCUAAUGCAUCACAAGAGUGAAACUUUUAAAAAAAUUUCAAGAGUUUAGUGUGAAAGUGGAGAAACAAUUAGGUUUACCCAUUAAGGCACUUCGGUUUGACCGACGUGGGGAAUACUUAUCGGACGAGUUCAUAAGAUACCUCAUAGAGAAUGAGAUACUAUCCCAAUUAACUGUGUAGGGUACUCCACAACAGAAUGUCAUGACAGUGAGAUGGAACAAAACCUUGCUUGAUAUGAUUUAUUCAAUGUUAAGUUAUUCAAAACUUCCAAUAUCAUUCUCGGAGUAAACAUUACUACCAACUUGAGAUAUUUUAAAUUACAUAAAAACCAAGGAAGCACCUCAGAAUCCAUACGAAAUGUGGCAUGACAUGAAGCCAAGCCUAAAUCAUUUUAGGAAUCGGGGAUGCCCAACUUACGUGUUGGCUAAAGAUGCAAAAAAGUUGGAAGCACGAAUAGAAUUUUGCAUGCUUGUUGGUUGUCCAAAACGGAGUAAGGGUGGAUAAAUUUAUAAUCCAAAAGACAAAAAGGUUAAGGUUUCGACUUAUGCUACUUUCCUUGAGGAAAUCUACAUUAAAAAUUUUAAACCUCGAAGUAGAUUGUUACUUCAAAAAAUUUCAGGAAAAUGAGCUUAUUUUUUGAUGACUUGUAAGUCAUUUUUCGUGAAAUAAACGCAGCUAAAGGAAAAUGAAUAAGAGGAUAAUAAUUUUAUAAACAACGAUCUAAAAUAUUUUACUCAUACCAUCAUUUUGAUUGAUUUUAUUAGUGAUUUUUAUUUUCUAUUCUACUUUUUUUAGCGACUCUUUAAAUAAUUGAGACCAAUAAAAAAACCAUAACAACUAAAAUUAAAAAUUUAAUAUUCUAAAAAAAACCAUAUAUUUUAAUUUAAAUUUUAAAUUUAAAUUGUUAAAAGAUUAAGCUAUUUUCUCGGCUUUGUAAGCAUGUUUCAAUUUUUUUACCACAAAUUAUCUCCCUCACAAAAAUAGUAAACCUAACAAUAUCCUUUUACAAAAUUUACACAUUUACACGUAUUGUCCAAAACUCUCGACAACUAAAAAUCCAAUUGCUAUAAAUUGUGCAAAAGUUCAUUGGAAAAAACACAUCAUCACAAAUUACCAUUAUUAGUCAGCCAACUAGCUUUUUUUUUUUUGAAAAAACAUGAAAAGGUUUUCCCUUAUUGUUUUGUGCAUGGUGACUCUAGUGGUGGUGGUGUUUUCGAGUGCAGAUAAUAUGAUAGUAUAAAAAUUUCGUUAAGAAAUUUUAUCGUUUGUAUGCUUAAUUUGUGAAAAAGGACUAAAUCGCGUAAAGUGUAAAAGUUGUGUUCUAUUAGCUAAAAGUGUUAAAUAGCUAUAUAACUUUAAAGUGGAGGUCCUUAUAUGAUAUCUAGACUACUAAUUGAGUUAUUGGAUGUGCAUGGCAUGGUAUUUUUGAAAAUUUUAAAGUUUGGUAAGAGUGAAUAGGUAAUUAGGAAAUUAAAGGUUAAAAAUUUAAUAUAACAAAAUAGUAAUCAUCUUUCUUCUUCAACCUACCAAAAAUUUCAUCAAACAUUGGGGUUUUGAAGCUUUGAAAUUCAGCUAAGCUCUGUGAUAGCCCGAAAUAGGGCCUAAUCGGAAUAGUGGUUUCGUAACCACAAAUCCGAAGUGAAAUAGUUUUAUUUUAUAAAUUUUUAUUAGUUACUGAUUGAUUGAAAUAUUGUGUAAAAAUAUGGAUAGAAAAUUUUAAUGAUUUAGUGCCUAAUUGAAUUUUUAGGACUAAAUCGAGAAAAAUGCAAAGUGUGUCUAAUUAGUGAUUAAAUGACUUAAUUGAAUUAUUGUAUAAAAUUGGAAGUGUUUAUGUGGAAAUUAGACCAUUAAUUAGUGUUAUGGACACAAAAGGAUAUUUCUAGAAAAAUAUCUAAGUAAUGGGUCAAGGGUAUUUUUGUCCAAAUUGAAUAAAAGACAAAAUAAAGUGAAAAUAAGUGUCCAUCUUCUUCAAAAUCAGACGUUUGCUGCCAAAAAAAUUCAUGUCACCAUAGCUAGGGUUCUUGAUCUUCCUAAGCUCAAUUGUAAGUGAUUUCUUGCCCCGUUUUUAAUUAUUUUCGUAUUUUUAUGCUUAUUGAAGCUUGAAUUUCAUGUUUCUACCAUUUAAUUUAAAUGAAAUUGAAGUUUAAAAAUUAACCCAUUCAUGAUAUAAUUGUAAAUUGAUUAGUGAUGUUAGAUAAUGAAUGUUUGAAGUGUUAAUUACAAGUUUUACUAGAUGAAUUUCAAUGAAAAAGUUGAAAAAGGGCUAAAUUGUGAAAGAUGGUAAAGUGUGCAUAAAGUUGUGAUUUUGUGAAAUUGAGGGCUGUUAUGAGCAUGAAAUAUGAUUUAGUGAAGUUUGAAAUUUAAGAAUUUAGUGAAUUUUAUUUUUACGAGCUUAGGGACAAAAGUGGAAUUUUUGAAAAGUUUUGGGGAAAAAUGUAAAUUUUCCAAAAUGUUGUGUAUGAAUUGUAUUUGAAUGAAAUGUUGAUAAAAUGUAUUAAAUUGUGUUAAUAUAGAUCAAGAAAGAAGAAAUAGUGCAAGUGAUCGGGGAAAAGAGAAAGUUAUCGACUAAAUUACAAAAAUAGUCGUUUUGCAUCCGAGGUAAGUUAUGUGUAAAUAAUAGUAAUAUAUUUUAUAAAUUGUGAAUUUUAUUUGAUAUGUGAAUCAAUAUUGAAUGUGGAAGGAAAAUUGUUCAUGAAUUAUUCAAGUGAUAAAGUGUUUAAAAUAAAGUGUUAAGUGUAAAUUCCCGGUUGAACUUAGGAAUAGAAGUGGAUACAAGUGACAUGUCACUAGAGAUCAGUGUUACAGUGUUACAGUGAGUCCCGGGUGCUGGGUGAUCUAGCAUGUGUUGCAGACACCUGACAGCUUGUGUGAGCAGGCCCGUGGACAUUUCCAGUGUUAUUGAUCAGUGGUAGCUUCGGCUACGUUUCAGUGGUAGCUUCAGCUACAUAACAGUGGUAGUUUCGGCUACAUUUCAGUGGUAGCUUCGGCUACAUAACAGUGGUAGCUUCGGCUACAUAUCAGUGUUGCACUUAUGUGCUAAAUCUCUACGUAUCUGUGUAUAUUCCGAGUGUUCAACGGGAUUAAUGAUGGGUUAAAGUGAAUAUGAAAUGAAGUGUGUAUGCAGGAACAAUUGAAAGAAUUGAGCAUAUGUGAUAAAUGUUAAGUGUGAAAAUGUAUAUGCAAGUGAAUUGGUAAGAUUGUGCAUGUGUAAGUGAUUGAAAUUGCUAAGAAAUGUUUUGAUUAGUUAUAUGUUAAAAGUGUUAAUUAUUAAAUGAGUAAUUAUUAUUUACAUGUAACUUACUAAGCUAUUUAUAGCUUACACCUUUCUUUCUUUUCCUUUGUUUUAUAGUGAUUUGAACUUGAUCGAAUUGGGGAUCGUCGGAGCUCGUAUCACACUAUCAUAAUCAUCUCGGUAUUAUGUGAUUUUCAAAAUGUUUAAACUAUGGCAUGUAUAGGGUCUUAAUCAUUUUGAGCAUGUUCAAAUGAUAUGGCUAAUAUUAGCUAUUGAAGUAGCUAUUAAAGAAUAUGUUUUGGUGUUAUGUAUGUUAAAAUGGUAACUAAUUCAAAGAAGCAGUUUCUUUGACAGCAGCAGUGGCGUGAAUGUGAAAAAUCACCAUAAAUAGUAGAAAUGGAAUUAGAGAGUGAAUUAUAUAUGGAAUUAAAUCUUAUCAAGUCUAUUUUUAUAUGAAAUAAACGGUGUAGGCAAAGGAAUUCUGUAUUUUGAGAUAUUUGAAUUUUAGUGAGAUAGGGUCAGAAUGGUUUUUGAAGUCCCCUAUUCUGACUUUGAAAAAUAAUUAUAAAUUGUACAGAAAGAAUUAUGGGUCAUAAUUUAUAUGUGUAGAUUUCUUAGUGAGUCUAUUUUCAAAAGAAACAAACGAUAACCUUAUAUGAAUUCUGUACAAAGAGAUAAUUGAUUUUUAGUGCCAAGAGGUCAGAUCUGUUGAGCUGUGAAACAGGGGAUACUUUAAUGAAUAAACUGUACUAAUUGGCUAAGUCAAAAAUUCUGAAAAUUUUAUGAUAAGUAGGAACAUGAGUCUAGUUUCAGAUAAAAUUUACGGAUUUAAAUUUUUAGUUUUUUAACUUAAGUUAUAAUUAAAUUAGUGACAGUCGCGCAGGUGGACAGUUUUGUUGUAAACAGUGAAUUUAAUUUUAAAAGCAAAUUUUUAUACUCCGAAUUGGUAAGUUAAAUUGGAUAACAUCUCGUACUCGAUUUUGGCGACGGUCUCGGGUAACGGGUGUUACAAGCUCUCCCUUGCAUGGUGAGUGAUUUUUGUUUCGUUUUUAUUGGUUUUUAUGUUUCCGGGAUCGUUGUAGCUUAACCUAGCUAGCCCGGGGACUAAUUUGCAAAAUAGUUGAAGGUUUAGGGUUUUACCAUUGAUUAAUAUGUUAGGAUUUUGAAAUUUAAUGAAAUAAAAUUAAUCAUUGUUGUGAGAUAAACACUUUUUGUUCAGUGAGUUUUGAUAAAAUUGUCAAAUAGAGACUAAAUUAAGAAAUGGGAAAAUUGUGUGUUAAAUGUGUGAAAUUGUUAAUUUUCUGAGCUGCUGUAUGCACAUAUGAAAUUCGACUAGGCUUAUAUAGGGAUAAAAUUGCAUAAAUUUCAUUUUACGAAGGACUAAUUUGUAAAGAAGUUAAAUAUUUAGGGGCAAAAUGGUAAUUUUGCCAUAACUUGAAAUUUGGAUUGAAUUGAAUAGAAUAAUGAUUAAAUUUGUUAAAUUUGAUUAUAUAGAUCAAGAAAAGCGACGUACGGAAUUAGAUUGAGGGAAAUAUAAAGUUAUCGUUUAAACAAUCAUUUUUCAUCGUACGAGUUCAAGGUAAGUUCGUGUAAUUGCAUUGUGUAUUUAUAUACUUUAAUUGAAAUAUAUGUUUUUGGAUUGUGUAAUCAUGAUGUAUAAUUAUCGAACUUAUAACCGAGGUAGUACGAAGAAUAUAGAGUCCCGUUUGAACCUUAGGAAUUCGUAGGAUACAAAUGACAUGUCAUUAGGGUUACCGAUUUGGUUGUGGUCAUGCAUGUGUUGCGGACACACCACAACUCGUAUGAGCUUAUCGAUUUCAACUCGUGAGAGCUUACCGAUUCAUAGCUCGGAGGAGCUUACCGUUUAUCACUUGUAUGAGCAUACAUUUACAAGAAUUGACGGAUUUACAGUUUAGUACAUCUCGCGCGUGCUACCCUCAUAUCUAACGAUAUUCUAAGUGGCUCAACGGGUAUAGUGAUAUUACGAGAUUACACAAGUUUAAUACGAACUAGUACAGGUAUUUACAUGAAAAUGGGUUAUAUAUGAUAUACGGAUACACGGUAUAGAUGGUACAUGUACAUUAAAUUUAAUAAUUGUUGAAUUCAUACAUGAUUCUCGGUUUUAUAUGAAUACAUGGCUAACUUGGUUAAUGGUUAUGUGAUAGGCUUUGGCCAAAUUGAAUUAUGUUAUGCUUUGAGUUAUUUACCUAAAUUUGUGGUUAAAUGGUAAGUUUAAUUCUGUAUUAUACGAACUUACUAAGCUUAAUUGCUUACUCUAUUUAUUUUCUCAUGUUUUAUAGAGAUUCGAAAGCUCGUUCGGAUUGGAAGUUGUCAGAGACCGCAUUACACUAUCAAACUUUAUUUUGGUACUUUUGACUUUAUAUUUUGGGUUAAAUGGCAUGUAUAGGUCAUUUUGGCUAAUGGUAGCCUUUAUGUUUUAUUGUGUAUUUAGCCAUUUGAUUUGUCUUGAAUUUGGUAUAUUUUGUUAUGUAAAUAUGUAAAUGGCCUUAUUGUAUAUGAUAUACGGUUGUCAUGUAAUGCUUUGUUUGUGAAUUGGUAUUAGGGUACCAAAUGGUUGAAGUUAAAAUGUGGUAUCAUGUUCAAUUUAGGCACUAGAUCUCAUAGGUGAGGUUGACCAUUUAGGUAUACUUUGGAAGUAUAUUUGGUAUGUUUUAAAGUGAUCAUUUGAAUGUGUUUAUGGAUAUCACGUUGUAUGUGUGAAAUUACAUAUUAUAAACUUGAUAUUGGUUGGUUUUAAGUGUCUACUUAUGCCUUGGUUCUAUACAAAUUGAUGUGUAUAGGUUGGUAUCAAUGUGGGUGAGGAAUAUGGCUUGGAAAAUGGCUUAUUUUUGUCCACACGGGCAGAGACACGGGCGUGUGUCUCAGCUGUUUGUGACACACGGUCAGGAGACACGACCGUGUGUCCCGUGAUACUUCUAUACAAAUCAAGUCAGUAGCUUCACACAGCCUAGCACACGGGCGUGUGGCUUGGCCGUGUGGCACAAGUCAGUAUACUCUCCAGUUUUCACACGGCUUGGCACACGGGCGUGUGAGGUCAUUUCGAAUGGUACACGGCUUGGCACACAGGUGUGUGGUUGACUGUGUGACCCAAGUCAGUGAGUUACACGGGGUUGGACACAGGCAGAGACACGACCGUGUGAUCCCAUUUCGAAUGCCCACACGGGCGUGUCUCUUGGCCGUGUGAGACACACAGCUUAGCCACACGGGCAUGUGUCCCCUGCACAUUGAACAUUUCAAUGUUUUCCUAAAAAUUCCUUGAGUACUCGGUUUAGUCCUGAACCACUUUUAAUGUUUAUUUAAGGCCUUGAGGGCUCUUAUUAGGGACUAUAUGAAAGAAUUUGAAUGGCUUUUGAUUGGAAUGAAAAAAAUGAAUAUAAAAAGUAUAAUUGUUUGAGUUAUAAGUUCGGUAAUGCUCCGUAACCCUGUUUUGACGUCGAAUACGGGUUAGGGGUGUUACAUGAUAACCCCUUGGAGUAUAGCUCAUUUUUGAAUGCGUAUAAGAAGCCACCUUGAUCAGUCGAUUGUUGCCAAAAAAUGAAGGAACAAGCACCAUGCUAUUGUGAGUACAUGAAGAUAGAAGAUGCCAAACGUGUUUUUGAUAGAUUUGAGAUUGCAGAAUGGCUAAAUUGUGUGGAGUUUCAUAUUCUUUCACCUGCUAGAAUCCCAUUUGGUUUCAUUAGACUAUUUCUGGCCAGGAUAACUUGGCAUCUCAAUAAAUGAUAAUUUUAUUUGAAAGCUAUUUUUUUACUCAUAAUUUCGACUAUAAUGUACUUGUGUUCUUUUUUUUUUCGGGAAUGAUACUGGUGGUUUGCUAUCAUUUACCUUUAUUAUCUUGAUUCAUGUUACAUAUGUGCUAAAAGAACUACACAAUGAUCUAGAUUUAGUUUGAAUCGUACUAGAUUGGUUUGAUUGGAAACUGAUCUAGAUACCAAUAUAAUUAGAGGGGUUAGAUUGAUUGACCCACGAACCAAUAAAGGCUAGUUGAAACGAUUUUCUCUAUUUCUUUAAAAAUAUUUUUAUAUUUAUUUAAAUUAUUAAAUAAUUUAUUUAAUUAAACUAGACGAGUAGGUCGAAAUGAAAAAUAGUUAUUUGAUUGAUUUGACCAUCGAUCCAGUUCUGAAAACAUUGUUAUAGUUUAAAAAAAAUGGGUAGGGUAAAUCAAAUUAUUAUAUUAUAAAAAAUAUAUGUUAUUCGAAUAUUUAUUUGGGUAAAGUACACUAGUAGUCACUCAACUUUUAGUAAAUUUCUUUUUUUCUCAUCGAAUUAUGAAAAAUUACAAAAUGAUCACCCAACUAUUCAAUUUUCUAUUUUUUGAUCUCUAGUUAGCUAAUGGUGGCAGCUAGACUUGUUAAUUGGCCGGAUUACUUGCCCAAGUCCGACGGCCCGCUUGAAAAAUGAAAGGGUUUGGACAAAUACACGAUGCCGAAAAAUGGGCUUGGGUAAAAGUUAAGGCCUAUUUUCUAUAUGAGUCGUGAUCUGUGCAAAUAUUUUUCACCCGAGCACAAUCUGACCCGAAUAUAUUAUGUUUUAAAAAUAAUUAUAUUAAUUAUAUAUGUUAAAUAAUAAUUAUAUAUUUAUAUAUAUUGAAUUACUAACCCAAUAAUAACUAAACCCAUUACCCAAAACCUAAAAAAAACUUAGCCAACUAAAUAAUUGGCUUCAGCUAUUCCUAAAGCUCGUCAAUUAGUUAACCAUAGACAUAUUUUAGUUAAUGGCUUACAGUAGAUAUGCCAAGUUAUCAUUGUAAGCCUCGAGGUAUUAUUUCAACGAGGGAUGAACAAAAUUCUAGAACUCUGAUUCAAAAUUAUCUUGAUUCAUCCACCAAUGAGGAAUUACCAAAACAUUUGACCCUUCACACAUUACUAUAUAAAGGAUUAGUCAAUUAAAUAAUAGAUGGAUAAUGGGUUGGUUUGAAAAUAAAUGGAUUGCUUGUCAUAGAAUAUUAUUCUCGUCAGAACUAAAAAUAUAAAAUAUAAAUUUUUUUAUUUAAUACAAUAAAACAUUUAUCAUAUUUAUGGUAGCGUUUUUUAAAGAAUUUUUAAUGUGGUAUGAAACACUCAGUUGAUGAAACUUAUUUAGUAUUAGGUCAUUAAUUCUGAAGUCAUUAAUAAUAUUUGUGUUUAUUGCUGGGGUUCAAGUAAACGAGAAGCCUUCGUGAUAAGGAUCUCCCGUUGCGAAUUGGGGAUGGGAGAAAUGUAGCGGCAAAAUUAGUGGGAGAAGCACAUUUGUAUUUUGAUAAUUUUAGGAAAUUUAUUUUAAAUGAUAUUUUUUAUGUACAUAGUUUUAGGAGAAAUUUAAUUUUUGUUGCAUGUUUAUUUAAAGAAAGUUUUUCUAUGACUUCUAAUAAAAGGAUUGCAAUUCAUAAAAAUCAUGUUCUUAUCCGUAAUGGAUGAGUGCAAAAUAAUAUUUAUUUUAUUACACAAAAGAGCUACUCACUGCUUGAAACCAAACUUGUGAAUAAGAAACUUAAAACAUCUCACUCUAAUACUUAAGAUAUUUAAGACUUAGUCGCGUUAAACAAUAAAGAAUGAAUAAACUUUUUAAAGAUGGAACUUUAAGCUCACUUAAAGAGAUACAUCUUCCACCAUGUGAAUCUUGCUGCAAAGGUAAAAUGACCAAGCAAUCUUCUAAUGCAAAAGGUACAAGGGUUGUUCAAUCAUUAAAACUUGUACAUACCGACGUAUGUGGUCCCAUGAACGUUAGUGUGAGAUUUGGUUACAAUUAUUAUGUAAACUUUUUAGAUAUUUAUUCCAGAUACUGGUAUAUGUACCUAAUGCACCACAAGAGUGAAACUUUUAAAAAAUUUUAAGAGUUUAGUGUGAAAGUGUAGAAACAAUUAGGUUUACCCAUUAAGACACUUCUGUUUGACUGACGUGGGGAAUACUUAUCAGAUGAGUUCAUAGGAUACCUCAUAGAGAAUGAGAUAUUAUCCCAAUUAACUGUGUAAGGUACUCCACAAUAGAAUAGCGUGGCACAAAGAUGGAACAAAACCUUGCUUGAUAUGAUUUAUUCAACGUUAAGUUAUUCAAAACUAUUGAUAUCAUUCUGGGGGUAAGCAUUACUAAUGACUUCCUAUAUUCUAAAUUACAUAAAAACUAAGGCAACACCUCAAGAUCCAUUCGAAAUGUGGCACAGCAUGAAGCCAGGCUGAAAUCAUUUUAGGAAUUGGGGAUGCCCAACCUACAUGUCGGCUAAAGAUGCAAAAAAGUUGGAAGUACAGAUAGAAUUGUGCAUGUUUGUUGGCUAUCCAAAACAGAGCAACGGUGAAUAAUUUUAUAACCCAAAAUACCUAACGGUUAAGGUUUCGACUUAUGCUAAUUUUCUUGAGAAAAUCUACAUCAACAAUUUUAAACUUCGAAGUAGAUUGUUACUUCAAAAAAUUUCAGGAAAAUGAACUUAUUUUUCGAUGACUUGUAAGUCAUUUUCCGUAAAACAAACGCAUCUGAAGGAAAAUGAAGAAGAGGAUAAUAAAUUAUAAACAGUGAUCUAAAAAAUUUUACUCAUACCAUCAUUUUAAUUGAUUUUAUUAGUAAUUUUCAUUUUCUAUUUUACUUUUUCUAGUGACUCUUUAAAUAAUUAAAACCAUUAAAAAUAAACCAUAACAACUAAAAUUUAAAUUUUAAUAUUAUAGAAAAACCAUAUAUUUUAAUUUCAAUUUUAAAUUUAAAUUGUUUAAAGAUUAAGCUAUUUUCUUGGCUUUGUAGUCCUGUUUCAAUUUUUUUACCACAAAUUAUCUCUCUUUCAAAAAUGGUAAACCUAACAACAUCCUUUUACCAAAUUUACACAUUUACACGUAUUGUCCAAAACUCUCGGCAACUAAUAAUCCAACUGCUAUAAAUUGUGCCAAAUUUCAUUGGAAAAAACACAUCAACACAAAUUACCAUUAUUAGUCGCCUAGCUAGCAAACUUUUUAUUUAAAAAAACAUGAAGAGGUUUUCCCUUAUUGUUUUGUGCGUGGUGACUUUAGUGGUGGUGUUAUUUUCGGGUGCAGAGACAACGCCAGCGCCAAAAUGUGAUAACCCCUUGGAGUAUAGCUCAUGCUUGAACGCGUAUAAGAAGCCACCUCCAUCAGCUGGUUGUUGCCAGAAAAUGAAGGAACAAGCACCAUGCUAUUGUGAGUACAUGAAGAUAGAAGAUGUCAAACGUGUUUUUGACAGAGUUGAGAUUGCGAAAAUGGCUAAAUUGUGUGGAGUUUCAUAUUCUUCCACCUGCUAGAAUCCCAUUUGGUUUCAUUUGACUAUCUCUGGCUGGGAUAACCUGGCAUCUCAAUAAAUAAAAUUUUAUUUGAAAACUAUUUUUUUACUCAUAAUUUCGACUAUAAUGUACUUGUGUCCUUUUUUUUUGGAAUGAUACUGGUCAUUUGCUAUUAUUUACCUUUAUUGUCUUGAUUCAUGUUACAUAUGUGCUAAAAGAACUACACAAUGAUCUA